UGAAUACGAGACGCUAAGGCGUCGAAGUAGUGUAUGUCAUACUUCCAAGAAAAGCUUGCACUGUCAUAGAUAAAAAACGCCUGUACCAUAACCGACACAGGUGGGUAGGUAGAGUAUACUAAGGGGCGCGAGAUAACUCUCUCUAAGGAACUCGGCAAAAUAACUCCGUAACUUCGGGAGAAGGAGUGCCUUAUUCGUAAGGUUGCAAUAACAAGAUCCAAGCAACUGUUUAUCAAAAACACAGGUCUCCGCUAAGUCGUAAGACGAUGUAUGGGGGCUGACGCCUGCCCAGUGCCAGAAGGUUAAAGAAGUUGGUUAGCAAUUGCGAAGCUGAUAACUGAAGCCCUGGUGAACGGCGGCCGUAACUAUAACGGUCCUAAGGUAGCGAAAUUCCUUGUCGGGUAAGUUCCGACCCGCACGAAAGGCGUAAUGAUUUGGAUACUGUCUCGGAGAGGGGCUCGGUGAAAUAGACUUGUCUGUGAAGAUGCGGACUACCUGCACCAGGACAGAAAGACCCUAUGAAGCUUUACUGUAACUUGAAAUUGAAAUUGGACUUUAUUCGCGCAGUAUAGGUGGGAGGCGUUGAUUAUAAUCUUGUGGGAUUAUUGGAGCCAUCAGUGAGAUACCACUCUUGUAAUGUUAGAUUUCUAACUUUGAAUCAUUAUCUGGUCAAAGAACAGUUUCAGGCGGGCAGUUUGACUGGGGCGGUCGCCUCCUAAACGGUAACGGAGGCGUACAAAGGUUUCCUCUGAACGGUUAGAAAUCGUAUCUAGAGUGUAAAGGCAUAAGGAAGCUUGACUGUGAGACCUACAAGUCGAGCAGGGACGAAAGUCGGUCUUAGUGAUCUGACGGUACUGAGUGGAAAGGCCGUCACUCAACGGAUAAAAGUUACUCUAAGGAUAACAGGCUGAUCUCCCCCAAGAGUUCACAUCGACGGGGAGGUUUGGCACCUCGAUGUCGGCUCAUCGCAUCCUGGGGCGGUAGUACGUCCCAAGGGUUGGGCUGUUCGCCCAUGAAAGCGGUACGCGAGCUGGGUUCAGAACGUCGUGAGACAGUUCGGUCCAUAUCCGGUGUAGGCGUUAGAAUAUUGAGAGGAGCCUUCUUUAGUACGAGAGGACCGAGAAGGACAUACCUCUGGUGUACCAGUUAUCGUGCCAACGGUAAACGCUGGGUAGCUAUGUAUGGAGUGGAUAACCGCUGAAAGCAUCUAAGUGGGAAGCCCACCUCAAGAUAAGUAUUCUCAC
rnacentral:rRNA from 1 species